rnacentral:rRNA from 1 species
UUUAUUGAGAGUUUGAUCCUGGCUCAGGACGAACGCUGGCGGCGUGCUUAACACAUGCAAGUCGAACGGAGUGCUCCGGAAAGAGAUUUCGGUCAAUGGAUGGAGUUACUUAGUGGCGGACGGGUGAGUAACGCGUGAGGAACCUGCCUUUCAGAGGGGGACAACAGUUGGAAACGACUGCUAAUACCGCAUAACGCAUGGGUAUCGCAUGGUAUCUGUGCCAAAGAUUUAUCGCUGAGAGAUGGCCUCGCGUCUGAUUAGCUAGUUGGUGAGGUAACGGCCCACCAAGGCGACGAUCAGUAGCCGGACUGAGAGGUUGGCCGGCCACAUUGGGACUG